rnacentral:tRNA from 1 species
AAAAAGAUAAGCUAAGUAAGCUGCCAGGUUCAUACCCUGAGAAUAGAAGUUUUAAUCUUCUUCUUUUUA